UUUGUUAAAUUUGCGCAUGUAUUUCCAAAUUGAAGACAAAGGAGUACAACGAUUAAAUGAAUUGCACAAGCCUAUCCAGCUAUUUCUUCUUUCACUUUUUAAGAUAAGUUUUUUUAAAGCCCGCAAUCUCUUAAACUCCACAUAAUUUUCAUCAGUGGAGUUGUUUUUAAAAUUAAUGUAACCAUUUUUAGCAUUUAAAACUGCUUCUGUACACCUCUGAUUCCACCAAGGCAACCAAGGAUAUUUAAAAGAUUUUUGUGAACAAGAACUAGUAACAUUAUUACUAUUAGAACUUUUGGAAAACAGACAGCUAGGGAUUGACUGCUUGGCAGCAGAAAGUAAAAUAUUACAAAAGGAAUUAAAAGCAUCUAUUGAAGAUAAAGUGUCAAAUUUAACAUCAUCCAAAUAAGAAACAACUAAGUUACUAUACAUAUUCCAAUUCACCUGCUUAUAAUUAGGGGAGAUGAUAACUACUGCCCAGAGGACUGUCAAUAACUGACCAGUCACAUAAAAGAGCCAAAGAUGGAGUUACCAAAGUCAAGUCAAGAGCAUUAGGAAGCCAAGAUGGAGAUCCUAUUGUGGUAGCUUGACCAUUAUUCAGAAUAACAAGACCAUUCUCAUCUAUAACCUCUAAAACAUCUUUACCUCGAGGCAAUGUAUCAACACAUCCCCACAACAUGUGAUGAGCAUUGAAAUCACCUGCAAAUAUCAUUGGCUCUGGAAUGGACUUAAUUAAACUGUUUAAAUUGUUUUUAUUAAAUGGAGGAUUUGAAUUGGAAGGACUGUAAAAACUCACAAAACUCAGUUCUUUGUUAUUAAUUUUAAUUUUAAUGCAAACAUUUUGUAGAGCACUAUCAAAAUAUGUAUUUAUGUUAGAAAAUGUGAUAUUAUUAUGAAUAAAAAUUGCUACACCA